CGGCGGACGGGUGAGUAACGCGUGGGCAACCUGCCUCAUACAGGGGGAUAACAGUUAGAAAUGACUGCUAAUACCGCAUAAGACCACGGUACCGCAUGGUACAGUGGUAAAAACUCCGGUGGUAUGAGAUGGACCCGCGUCUGAUUAGGUAGUUGGUGGGGUAACGGCCUACCAAGCCGACGAUCAGUAGCCGACCUGAGAGGGUGAUCGGCCACAUUGGGACUGAGACACGGCCCAG
rnacentral:rRNA from 1 species